rnacentral:rRNA from 1 species
GUGAGGAAUAUUGGUCAAUGGGCGAGAGCCUGAACCAGCCAAGUAGCGUGCAGGAUGACGGCCCUAUGGGUUGUAAACUGCUUUUAUCAGGGGAUAAAGUCACCCACGUGUGGGUGUUUGUAGGUACCUGAUGAAUAAGGACCGGCUAAUUCCGUGCCAGCAGCCGCGGUAAUACGGAAGGUCCGGGCGUUAUCCGGAUUUAUUGGGUUUAAAGGGAGCGCAGGCCGGCUUUUAAGCGUGACGUGAAAUGUAGACGCUCAACGUCUGAAUUGCGUCGCGAACUGGAGGCCUUGAGUGCAUUCGACGUCAGCGGAAUUUGUGGUGUAGCGGUGAAAUGCUUAGAUAUCACGAAGAACUCCGAUUGCGAAGGCAGCUGACGAGACUGUAACUGACGCUAAAGCUCGAAAGUGCGGGUAUCGAACAGG